rnacentral:rRNA from 1 species
ACGAACGCUGGCGGCGUGCCUAAUACAUGCAAGUCGAACGCUUCUUUUUCCACCGGAGCUUGCUCCACCGGAAAAAGAGGAGUGGCGAACGGGUGAGUAACACGUGGGUAACCUGCCCAUCAGAAGGGGAUAACACUUGGAAACAGGUGCUAAUACCGUAUAACAAUCGAAACCGCAUGGUUUUGAUUUGAAAGGCGCUUUCGGGUGUCGCUGAUGGAUGGACCCGCGGUGCAUUAGCUAGUUGGUGAGGUAACGGCUCACCAAGGCCACGAUGCAUAGCCGACCUGAGAGGGUGAUCGGCCACAUUGGGACUGAGACACGGCCCAAACUCCUACGGGAGGCAGCAGUAGGGAAUCUUCGGCAAUGGACGAAAGUCUGACCGAGCAACGCCGCGUGAGUGAAGAAGGUUUUCGGAUCGUAAAACUCUGUUGUUAGAGAAGAACAAGGAUGAGAGUAACUGUUCAUCCCUUGACGGUAUCUAACCAGAAAGCCACGGCUAACUACGUGCCAGCAGCCGCGGUAAUACGUAGGUGGCAAGCGUUGUCCGGAUUUAUUGGGCGUAAAGCGGGCGCAGGCGGUUUCUUAAGUCUGAUGUGAAAGCCCCCGGCUCAACCGGGGAGGGUCAUUGGAAACUGGGAGACUUGAGUGCAGAAGAGGAGAGUGGAAUUCCAUGUGUAGCGGUGAAAUGCGUAGAUAUAUGGAGGAACACCACUGGCGAAGGGCGCUCUCUGGUCUGUAACUGACGCUGAGGGCUGGAAAGCGUGGGGGAGCAAACAGGAUUAGAUACCCUGGUAGUCCACGCCGUAAACGAUGAGUGCUAAAGUGUUGGAGGGUUUCCGCCUUUCAGUGCUGCAGCUAACGCAUUAAGCACUCCGCCUGGGGAGUACGACCGCAAGGUUGAAACUCAAAGGAAUUGACGGGGGCCCGCACAAGCGGUGGAGCAUGUGGUUUAAUUCGAAGCAACGCGAAGAACCUUACCAGGUCUUGACAUCCUUUGACCACUCUAGAGAUAGAGCUUCCCCUUCGGGGGCAAAGUGACAGGUGGUGCAUGGUUGUCGUCAGCUCGUGUCGUGAGAUGUUGGGUUAAGUCCCGCAACGAGCGCAACCCUUAUUGUUAGUUGCCAUCAUUCAGUUGGGCACUCUAGCAAGACUGCCGGUGACAAACCGGAGGAAGGUGGGGAUGACGUCAAAUCAUCAUGCCCCUUAUGACCUGGGCUACACACGUGCUACAAUGGGAAGUACAACGAGUCGCGAAGUCGCGAGGCUAAGCUAAUCUCUUAAAGCUUCUCUCAGUUCGGAUUGCAGGCUGCAACUCGCCUGCAUAAAGCCGGAAUCGCUAGUAAUCGCGGAUCAGCAUGCCGCGGUGAAUACGUUCCCGGGCCUUGUACACACCGCCCGUCACACCACGAGAGUUUGCAACACCCGAAGUCGGUGAGGUAACCCUUACGGGAGCCAGCCGCCGAAGGUG